rnacentral:rRNA from 1 species
AUUGAACGCUAGCGGCAUGCUUAACACAUGCAAGUCGAACGGUAGCAGACCUAGCUUGCUAGGUGCUGACGAGUGGCGGACGGGUGAGUAACGCGUAGGAAUUUACCUUGUAGUGGGGGAUAACUUGGGGAAACCCAAGCUAAUACCGCAUGAGCCCUAAGGGGGAAAGCGUGGGACCGAAAGGCCACGUGCUAUGAGAUGAGCCUGCGUCGGAUUAGCUAGUUGGUAGGGUAAAGGCCUACCAAGGCGAGGAUCCGUAGCUGGUCUGAGAGGACGACCAGCCAAACUGGGACUGAGACACGGCCCAGACUCCUACGGGAGGCAGCAGUGGGGAAUAUUGGACAAUGGGCGCAAGCCUGAUCCAGCAAUGCCGCGUGUGUGAAGAAGGCCUGCGGGUUGUAAAGCACUUUCGGUGGGGAGGAAGGCUCAACGGUUAAUAGUCGCUGGGAUUGACGUUACCCACAGAAGAAGCACCGGCUAACUCUGUGCCAGCCGCCGCGGUAAUAC